CUGUCCCCGGCCCGGCUGCGGCGGGCUGGGCAGGGGCACCUGGCCGGGCGUGCGCGAUGCGUCCUGCCUUAAAUGAGGUGUGAGGGCCUCGUGCUUCACCAACCGACGGGAGAGGACACAGGCCCGCGAGAGCCCGGCUCCUUCCUGGUGGGGCGGGCUGCGCAGCGGGCAGGGGCCAACCGUUCUUCCCUGGCUCUGAUGGGCUCGUCUCUUCGGCCUGAAGAAAGCAAAUGAGGCCCCAGCGUUUCGAGGCCACCGGACUGGUGAAGCCCAAACGUGAGAAGCGGUGUUGCCGAUGGGCAGCCCCACGACGCUCAGUAACCACGCCAACCGUGGUCUCAGGGACACUUGCAGUGUCCCCACAAUCUGGAGAGCACGCGGGCAGUCUGCCUCUCAGUUUAGGUCAACCCCAACCAACACAUCAUCUCACCCGUUUGGAACCCACCUUUCAGAGCAGGUGCAUCUGAGAGUCUGUCCCAGAGAGGUCACUUCCCCAAGGAAGGUGGGUCUGUGGAAUGCUGGCUGGCCUACAGCUCUGUGUAAAAGGGAAACAAUACUGGAGGCCCUACUGGAAUGUCCUAUGGAUUCAACUAUGGGAACAGGAAACGGCAAAAGGACUCGUCAUUGGGGUGGCUCUGGCGAUGGCGAACACUCUCAUCCCACAAUGCUGAGUGGUCGGCAGAAAAGGCAAGACAAAUAAGUUACCAGCAACUUUUAAUUCUUUUAAGAAAAGGCUGCCUUCUACUAAGGUUUUAAAUCUUAGUAGGUCAAAUGUAGUAACUUGGAAGUGAAAUGAAUUUUCCUCCUUUAGUGCGCAGACUCUCUAAACAACCGGGGAGCCUCCCACAUUUAUUUAGUAAUUGUGCAAGUUAAACGUUUUAUUAUAAAAAGUCUAAACCUAUUUUUUAUGAGGAAUACAGCAGACGAUUUACCAUCCGUUGCCUACCUCGCCAAUAGUAUAAUUCAACUGUCUUGCCCGCACAAUCAUCUCCAUCUGGAAGACAUAGCCUUUAGAAACACAGUUUUCUAUUAAUUUCUGUAGAACUUCUUUUCGGUAUAACCUGUGAGAAAUUAAAAUACACAUGAGCACCUAGGUAAA